rnacentral:rRNA from 1 species
AUACGGAGGGGGCUAGCGUUGUUCGGAAUUACUGGGCGUAAAGCGCACGUAGGCGGAUUGGAAAGUAGGGGGUGAAAUCCCAGGGCUCAACCCUGGAACUGCCUCCUAAACUAUCAGUCUAGAGUUCGAGAGAGGUGAGUGGAAUUCCAAGUGUAGAGGUGAAAUUCGUAGAUAUUUGGAGGAACACCAGUGGCGAAGGCGGCUCACUGGCUCGAUACUGACGCUGAGGUGCGAAAGCAUGGGGAGCAAACAGGAUUAGAAACCCUAGUAGUCC